UGGGGAAUUUUGGACAAUGGGCGAAAGCCUGACGGAGCAACGCCGCGUGAGUGAUGAAGGUCUUCGGAUCGUAAAACUCUGUUAUUAGGGAAGAACAAAUGUGUAAGUAACUAUGCACGUCUUGACGGUACCUAAUCAGAAAGCCACGGCUAACUACGUGCCAGCAGCCGCGGUAAUACGUAGGUGGCAAGCGUUAUCCGGAAUUAUUGGGCGUAAAGCGCGCGUAGGCGGUUUUUUAAGUCUGAUGUGAAAGUCCACGGCUCAACCGUGGAGGGUCAUUGGAAACUGGAAAACUUGAGUGCAGAAGAGGAAAGUGGAAUUCCAUGUGUAGCGGUGAAAUGCGCAGAGAUAUGGAGGAACACCAGUGGCGAAGGCGACUUUCUGGUCUGUAACUGACGCUGAUGUGCGAAAGCGUGGGGAUCAAACAGG
rnacentral:rRNA from 1 species